rnacentral:rRNA from 1 species
CAGGCUUAACACAUGCAAGUCGAGGGGCAGCAUGGUCUUAGCUUGCUAAGGCCGAUGGCGACCGGCGCACGGGUGAGUAACACGUAUCCAACCUGCCGUCUACUCUUGGACAGCCUUCUGAAAGGAAGAUUAAUACAAGAUGGCAUCAUGAGUCCGCAUGUUCACAUGAUUAAAGGUAUUCCGGUAGACGAUGGGGAUGCGUUCCAUUAGAUAGUAGGCGGGGUAACGGCCCACCUAGUCUUCGAUGGAUAGGGGUUCUGAGAGGAAGGUCCCCCACAUUGGAACUGAGACACAGUCCAAACUCCUACGGGAGGCAGCAGUGAGGAAUAUUGGUCAAUGGGCGAGAGCCUGAACCAGCCAAGUAGCGUGAAGGAUGACUGCCCUAUGGGUUGUAAACUUCUUUUAUAAAGGAAUAAAGUCGGGUAUGGAUACCCGUUUGCAUGUACUUUAUGAAUAAGGAUCGGCUAACUCCGUGCCAGCAGCCGCGGUAAUACGGAGGAUCCGAGCGUUAUCCGGAUUUAUUGGGUUUAAAGGGAGCGUAGAUGGAUGUUUAAGUCAGUUGUGAAAGUUUGCGGCUCAACCGUAAAAUUGCAGUUGAUACUGGAUAUCUUGAGUGCAGUUGAGGCAGGCGGAAUUCGUGGUGUAGCGGUGAAAUGCUUAGAUAUCACGAAGAACUCCGAUUGCGAAGGCAGCCUGCUAAGCUGCAACUGACAUUGAGGCUCGAAAGUGUGGGUAUCAAACAGGAUUAGAUACCCUGGUAGUCCACACGGUAAACGAUGAAUACUCGCUGUUUGCGAUAUACGGCAAGCGGCCAAGCGAAAGCGUUAAGUAUUCCACCUGGGGAGUACGCCGGCAACGGUGAAACUCAAAGGAAUUGACGGGGGCCCGCACAAGCGGAGGAACAUGUGGUUUAAUUCGAUGAUACGCGAGGAACCUUACCCGGGCUUAAAUUGCAGAUGAAUUACGGUGAAAGCCGUAAGCCGCAAGGCAUCUGUGAAGGUGCUGCAUGGUUGUCGUCAACUCGUGCCGUGAGGUGUCGGCUUAAGUGCCAUAACGAGCGCAACCCUUGUUGUCAGUUACUAACAGGUUCUGCUGAGGACUCUGACAAGACUGCCAUCGUAAGAUGUGAGGAAGGUGGGGAUGACGUCAAAUCAGCACGGCCCUUACGUCCGGGGCUACACACGUGUUACAAUGGGGGGUACAGAGGGCCGCUACCACGCGAGUGGAUGCCAAUCCCAAAAACCUCUCUCAGUUCGGACUGGAGUCUGCAACCCGACUCCACGAAGCUGGAUUCGCUAGUAAUCGCGCAUCAGCCACGGCGCGGUGAAUACGUUCCCGGGCCUUGUACACACCGCCCGUCAAGCCAUGGGAGCCGGGGGUACCUGAAGUGCGUAACCGCGAGGAGCGCCCUAGGGUAAAACUGGUGACUGGGGCUAA